AAUAACACUGGUAAGUUCUGGAAGGUAUUUCAUAGUGUUCCAAAAUGUGUCAUCCCUGUGCACAUGCAUUUGUUUCAAGGAUGUAAAGAGGAAAAACUCAAAGCAAUGUGUGUUCUGAUCAAGAAAUGACUGGAAAAGGCAGCUACCUGAUAUGGAACAAUCAAGAACUGAAGGUUUAUUUGGAAUGAGAGGUGUUGUCCAACUGCGAGACUGAGUGAUUUAAGCUGAGAAUAAAUGGAAACACAAUCAAUAGUCACUCCAGUGAGGUAGGAAAGAAAUCCAUUCCGAAGUGGCAGAGAAGCUGCUUUUUCCUCCUGCAUGCUGCCUGCUAGUGUGGAUCUUGGCAUAACAGACACUACUUGACAAAAGAUCCAUCCUUCCUUUUCCUAUACUUUGCUCAGUCGCCUGGAAGACUGACGUCAAAAGCAAAAUCACCUGGAUUUCCUUGCCAUUUGGCUUUCAAAUGUGCUCAGCCAAUGAGAGGCUGGAAAGAAAUUGACAGCUGGGAAAAGAGGAAGAUCAGUGUACAAGAGGAAGAUCGGUGUACAAGAGGAAGAUUAGUGUACAAGAGGACGAUUGGUGUACCUCCCACUCACAUCUCAUUACCUGCCAUGGUCCUAGUAGUGGCUGUUCUUAUUAUGGCCACAACUACUCUUGGACAGGCCCAUAUCCAUAGCUCCAUCCCUCAACUAGGCUUCAUGAACACUGUUCUCUGCCCUUAUCUCAUUCUGUGUAGGGGUGAUAAAGGUUUCCUGACAUCAGAGUUCCUGAGUGCCUCAUAUA